GAUACUGGGUUAUUCCCAAGGCUGAUAGAAGAGGAGAUGAUGGUUCUGCCUGGAUGUCUUCUUCAUGCUCCUUGAGUUUGCAAGUGAACCGUCAUGUCCUGAGCGAGCCGGGUCCACACAGACGCAAAGUUCGGGGAUUGUGUCUCAGAUUCCCAUCAAACUUAGCCAACAGCCGUGAUCAACAGCCAGCAGAAGUGUGCUUCAAGGACUCGACCCUGUGGUUUCUCAGUUCUGCCUCUCUUGGAUGCCCCUCCUGGCUGCUGCAGGCAGGGGGUUUCUGACUUAGAUGGAAACGGAGGAUCUUCACAAACCAAAUGUCUUCAACAACCAGGACUGGGCCGGAUGAAAGCAAGGAACUUCAAACUCCGUCCACGUGCCUCCAGUGGGUGGCAGUGUGCCCAGGCAUUUAAGCCAUCAUCUGCUGCUUUCAAGGUUGUACUUUAGCAAGAAGCUGGUUGGGAGUGCAAGGUGCUGACAAUGUAACUGGUGUACCAAG